rnacentral:rRNA from 1 species
UGGGGAAUUUUGGACAAUGGGCGCAAGCCUGAUCCAGCCAUGCCGCGUGCGGGAAGAAGGCCUUCGGGUUGUAAACCGCUUUUGUCAGGGAAGAAAUCUUCUGAGUUAAUACCCUCGGGAGGAUGACGGUACCUGAAGAAUAAGCACCGGCUAACUACGUGCCAGCAGCCGCGGUAAUACGUAGGGUGCAAGCGUUAAUCGGAAUUACUGGGCGUAAAGCGUGCGCAGGCGGUUUUGUAAGACAGAGGUGAAAUCCCCGGGCUCAACCUGGGAACUGCCUUUGUGACUGCAAGGCUUGAGUGCGGCAGAGGGGGAUGGAAUUCCGCGUGUAGCAGUGAAAUGCGUAGAUAUGCGGAGGAACACCGAUGGGAAGGCAAUCCCCUGGGCCUGCACUGACGCUCAUGCACGAAAGCGUGGGGAGCAAACAGGAUUAGAUAGCCCUGGUAGUCCACGCCCUAAACGAUGUCAACUGGUUGUUGGGAAGGUUCCUUCUCAGUAACGUAGCUAACGCGUGAAGUUGACCGCCUGGGGAGUACGGCCGCAAGGUUGAAACUCAAAGG